rnacentral:misc_RNA from 1 species
ACGAAUUUAUUGAGAGUUGAUGCUGGUUGCAAGACAUGUGCUCGCUCUCUUAAAAUCCAUAUACACCUGUGCACCUUUUUCUCCUUUGUGCUGUUGAGUCUCUGACUCUAGUGAAAAGGAGGAAAAAAUAUACAAACUCUUAUAUUAAUCUUGAAUGUUAUCGCCGCAAGGCAAAAUUUAAUA